UCGCCUGUUUUAUCAAAAACAUCGCCUCUUGAAAUUCUGCUCUUAUAAGAGGUCCAGCCUGCCCAGUGAUAUUUUUUAACGGCCGCGGUACUCUGACCGUGCGAAGGUAGCAUAAUCACUUGUUCUUUAAAUGAGGACUAGUAUCAACGGCAUCACGAGGAUUUUACUGUCUCCUUUUUCCUAUCGGUGAAACUGAUCUCCCCGUGAAGAAGCGGGGAUAAUUCUAUAAGACGAGAAGACCCCAUGGAGCUUUAAACCCAGAGACACCUCAAACCCCCCUUUCCAUAAAAGUUUUUAUGUGCUGUCCUCUGGUUUUAGGUUGGGGUGACCGCGGAGUAAAACUUAACCUCCACAACGCACGGAACUUCUUCCUUAUCUAAGAGCAACAUCUCAAAGAAUUAACAUAUUGACGUAAAAUGAUCCAAUAACUUUUAUUUUGAUCAACGAACCAAGUUACCCUGGGGAUAACAGCGCAAUCCAUUUCCAGAGCCCCUAUCGACAAAUGGGUUUACGACCUCGAUGUUGGAUCAGGGUAUCCCAGUGGUGCAGCCGCUACUAAUGGUUUGUUUGUUCAACAAUUAAAACCCUACGUGAUCUGAGUUCAGAC
rnacentral:rRNA from 1 species